CCUACGGGAGGCAGCAGUGGGGAAUAUUGGACAAUGGGCGAAAGCCUGAUCCAGCAAUGCCGCGUGAGUGAUGAAGGCCUUAGGGUUGUAAAGCUCUUUUACCCGGGAUGAUAAUGACAGUACCGGGAGAAUAAGCUCCGGCUAACUCCGUGCCAGCAGCCGCGGUAAUACGGAGGGAGCUAGCGUUAUUCGGAAUUACUGGGCGUAAAGCGCACGUAGGCGGCUUUGUAAGUAAGAGGUGAAAGCCCAGAGCUCAACUCUGGAAUUGCCUUUUAGACUGCAUCGCUUGAAUCAUGGAGAGGUCAGUGGAAUUCCGAGUGUAGAGGUGAAAUUCGUAGAUAUUCGGAAGAACACCAGUGGCGAAGGCGGCUGACUGGACAUGUAUUGACGCUGAGGUGCGAAAGCGUGGGGAGCAAACAGGAUUAGAUACCCUGUAGUCCACGCCGUAACGAAUGAUAACUANCUCGUCGACGACUGUUGUUGGUUGGUGGCGGCGUACGUACGAUAAGUUAAGUUACGUCCGUCGGAGGUACGGCCGGCGACGUAAACGUAACGAACAGAGUAGUAGGCGUGAGAGUCGCGACGACGACGACGAGGGAGGAGG
rnacentral:rRNA from 1 species